UACGGAGGAGGCAAGCGUUAUCCGGAAUUAUUGGGCGUAAAGCGUGCGCAGGCGGUUGUGCAAGACCGAUGUGAAAUCCCCGGGCUUAACCUGGGAAUGGCAUUGGUGACUGCACGGCUAGAGUGUGUCAGAGGGGGGUAGAAUUCCACGUGUAGCAGUGAAAUGCGUAGAGAUGUGGAGGAAUACCGAUGGCGAAGGCAGCCCCCUGGGAUAACACUGACGCUCAUGCACGAAAGCGUGGGGAGCAAACAGG
rnacentral:rRNA from 1 species